rnacentral:rRNA from 1 species
UACGUAGGGUGCAAGCGUUGUCCGGAUUUAUUGGGCGUAAAGAGCUCGUAGGCGGCUUGUCGCGUCGUCCGUGAAAACUUGGGGCUCAACCCCAAGCUUGCGGUCGAUACGGGCAGGCUCGAGUUCGGUAGGGGAGACUGGAAUUCCCGGUGUAGCGGUGGAAUGCGUAGAGAUCGGGAAGAACAUCAGUGGCGAAGGCGGUCUGCUGGGCCGUUGCUGACGCUGAGGCGCGACAGCGUGGGGAGCAAACAGG